UACGGGGGAUGCAAGCGUUAUCCGGAUUUAUUGGGUUUAAAGGGUGCGUAGGCUGUAAGGUAAGUCAGCGGUGAAAUGCCCCCGCUCAACGGGGUGAAGUGCCAUUGAUACUGCCUUGCUGGAAUGCGGAUGCCGUGGGAGGAAUGUGUGGUGUAGCGGUGAAAUGCGUAGAUAUUAGGAGGAACACCAGUGGCGAAGGCGGCUUACUGGACGGUAACUGACGCUGAGGCUCGAAAGCGUGGGGAGCAAACAGG
rnacentral:rRNA from 1 species